rnacentral:rRNA from 1 species
CCUACGGGAGGAGCAGUGAGGAAUCUUGCGCAAUGAGUGAGAGCUUGACGCAGCGACGCCGCGUGCUGAGGAAGCUCCAAGGAGUGUAAAGGCCUGUUGUUGGGGGAGAACCUGUGUGAUACGGAAGUAUCAUGCACUGACGGUACCCAGCAUAGCAAGCCCCGGCUAACUCCGUGCCAGCAGCCGCGGUAACACGGAGGGGGCAAGCGUUGUCCGGAAUCACUGGGUGUAAAGGGCACGCAGGCGUCUAUAUAAGCCUCUGGUGAAAGUCUACUGCUUAACGGUAGAUGUGCUAGAGGAACUAUAUAGAUUGAGCAUAGAAGGCGGAUGCGGAACUCCUGGUGGAGAGGUGAAGUUCGUAGAUAUCAGGAGGAACACCAGCGGAGAAAUCGGCAUCCUGCUCUAUUGCUGACGCUGAGGUGCGAAAGCGUGAGUAGCGAACGGGAUUAGAGACCCCGGUAGUCGACGCCCUGCACCAUGUAUACUUGAUGUUCAGGGUU